rnacentral:lncRNA from 1 species
CUUGAAGGUAGACCAUAAUAACUUAAAGAUAUAUACUAUAAACCCUAAAGUCACAACUAAAAAAUAUAAUGAAGUAGGGAGUCAUACAUAAUAAGACAGCAAAUGAGAUAAAAUGAGAAAAAAAUAACAUUAUAGGUAUAGCAAGUGUGAACUUUCACAGUCAAGAAUUAGGUUUUCCAAAAAUAUGGUACUCUUGUCUGCUACUUAGCUCAUGGGCCCAUCUUACCUUUUCAAGGAACCUUAGCCACAUGUAACUUAAAAUGCAUACUCUUUUAAGCAAAUUCAGUCCAUCCAAGUCUUUUUCAUUCCUUCUUCCCUGAUGUGUCCCUGAAUUAAUCCUUGUUCCUGGGGAUAUUGUUCUGAUGUUAUUGAGAGCAAGUUCCUGAACCAGACCCUUGUGUCUGAUGUUAACUCUAUGUUAACUCUGUUAUUACUUAUCUGCCACAGGCUGGUUGCUUAACCUUUUUAUUUUUUGGUGCUUUUUCACCUGUAAAAAAGGGGGUAAUAGCAGCUACUUUGAAGGAUUACUGUGAAGAGUCAAUAGAUAACAUAUGUAGAUGGUCCGAAGGUAGUGAGUUAUCUCAAUUGAUUAUUCAGUCAAUUACAGAUCAAACUCCUUGUCCUACUCUUUCCCCAUUUUCACUACUGCACUUGAUGUCUUAACUUAAAAAAAUAACAUGUGAAAGCACUUAGUACAAUGCUCUUUGCUUGUCAAGCCCUAAAUGAGUGACAUUUUUAUUCUUAUCUGUAUAUAGUAUUCUCUGCUCUGCUGCAGCCACAUAACUGUUGAUUUUGCCUUUCGUCUUCAUGAGAUGCCACCAGCUCAGUCAGUAACUGCACACUUCCUUUGUAGGUUUCAGAAAUAUUUUUGCAGUAUUUACAGGCUGGGAUGUUCCAGGAUUCAGUGGCACAGACUUCCAGUCCAGCUUCCUGGACACUUCACUCCACCACUGCUUCUCUAUCGCUCUGUCAGAAACAUCCACUCUUCCCAGGCCAAACUCUACAAAGCAGGAUGGAAAUUCUAACCAUGUUUUUCUGGGCCACCAGGACCUGACUUUCUAACUUUCAAACUAAUAUUUUCGAUUGGAGCUUUUUAUUUUUAUUUUUUAUUUAUUUUAUUUAUUUUUUUUGAGACGGAGUCUUGCUCUGUCACCCAGCCUGGAGUGCAGUGGCACAAUCUCAUCUCACUGCAAUCUCUGCCUCCUGGGACUACAGGCACCCACCACCACGCCCGGUUAACUUUUUUUUUUUUUUUUUUUUUUUUUUUUUUUUGUAUUUUGUUGUAGAGAUGGAGUUUCUCUGUGUUAGCGAGGCUAGUCUCGAUCUCCUGACCUCGUGAUCCACCUGCCUCGGCCUCCCAAAGUGCUGGGAUUACAGGCGUGAGCCACUGCGCCCUGCUUGAUUAGAGCUUUUUAAAACUUCUGUUUGGAAAUUCAAUUCUAACUAGCGACUUCUGUUACUGUAGCUAUCCUGUACAUGGCAGUCACUGUAUGUGGCCAGUGACACUCUGCAUACAUGCUGAGGGCUAUAAUAGUGGUAAGAAGGGUGGCAGGAAGAAACCUAGUAAUAUGGUCAAGGACUGUCUGCUCCCUAGUGGCAGCAGAAAAGUUAAUCAUUUACUUAACUUUAACUGUUACUAGCAACAGAUUAAUUACGAUGUAUUGGAAAGUAAUUGGUAUCCACCAUAGUGCCUUGUUGCCACAGUGAGCUGCUGCCUGUGACACUGGAGCUGCUUGUUACCAAACACAGGCAGAGAUAUGGAAACAUCUGGAAGGUCCCUGAGGUACCAUAGCUAUUGAGGUGGCCCUGGUUAUCUCUGGAAGCUGCAGCUGUCUCUUGAUUCAGUCUAGAAAAACCGAAGUCCAUGAGACAACAGGUUAUCAGUUGAGUUUCGGCUCUGUUAUGAACAACUCCAUGGAACAAUUUCUGAGUAUUAGAGACGUAAACAUCUUCCUGCAUCUUCCUUUUAUGGUGAUUAUCUCCUCUGCUAGUCCAGGAGCCUUUUGAGCAGUGGGACUUACUUACACCUUGACAUUCCCUAUAGACCCUCGCAGAAUCUUAAAGGAAGCUGCUACAGACACCACCACCACUAUAUAUGAAGAAACUAUCCCAGACACUGCUCCAGGGGCUCCACAAUCAUAAUUCUAUUUAAUCCUCAUAGGCCACUCUAAGUUAUAUAUUGCUUUCCUAUUGAUGGAUAGAAUGAUUGAAGUUCUAAGUAGUUGUAAGGUUUGUGCAAGGGCACAAAGCAUGGGGCCAACAUUCUACCCAAACCUGUGUUACUCUCACACCUUAUUUUCUGUCACUGCAAUAAAAUAUCUCCUUCACAUAACACCUCUCAGUGGUGGCUGUUUCUGAGCUUGUCUGCUUGCACUGUAUCCAUACACAAACCUGGUGGUUAGACUGUCUUUGGAGGGAAUUUGAACACAAGAGAGUAGAAACAAGAUUUGUGGCUAUCAAGAUAAUAGAGGCAAGUAGUAUUACCAAAUAUACAGUCCAUUGCUUUAGAAAUUUUGCAAAGAACAGUCAAUAAUAAUUAGUUUUUACAUACAUCUAGUGAAAAUAUGAUAAAAUGUUGUUCAAAAUUUUAUAGCUAGAGGUGAAAAGAAUUCAGAGGAAGUUGUCUGAGUAUUCCUAAUGCUUUCAAUCUACAGCAGCCAAAGCCAUAUUUAUUGUUUUCAUAGAAAGUAAGAAGUUUGGGAUCAUAGUUACUAACUUUGGUCUGGAACUUCUGGCCUACGGCCUGUGUUUUAGAACUGCUAGAUUGCAUUGUACUCCAAAGAGGCAUGUGACCAGUGAGCAAAACCAGAUGGUGAAGUAUGCAAGGCCUAUCUUCUGCUGAACUCACUUCUCUCUUAUGAAGCCCUCUGACCUCCCUGCCUGCCCCAGUUCUCAGUGCUCCGCUCCACACAUCCAGGAGAAAACAAAUCAUUAGUGUUUUCAGAAAAAUUUGUCUGUUAGACGUCUCUGAGACUUUAUAACUACCCCAAAGGCAGAAACUCAAAAUAAUCUUUGGUGAUACCGAUGACUAAUAGUGGUAUUUCAACUUCUGUGUCUUCUGAUUAAGGGAAUUAUUUUGGUGCCAAAUUAUACUCUGUAAGGGGCAAAUUGUAUUACUAAAUCUGCCACUUGCCCUCUCCUCUCAGGUGGCUUUGCUUAGCACUACAAAGAUGGUAGAAAAACAGUUUUCCAGUAGCCACAUAAGAGACUAUGCACAAUUCCAGAUUUGAUUCCACACUAAUAUAGAGGUGGAAGAGUUGCUAAUAGUAGAGCUCGAUGAAUGGAAAAUUGCAAGCUGGUUUUUCGUUUAGGAUGGGCUGCUGUUGACCUCGCUGCUGACCUUGCUGCUGACCUCACUGCUGACCUUGCUGCUGACUUCACCGUUUCUCCCAAUAUAUGUCAGCUGAGUGGACUUUUGGCUGCCGGACAUGAAGAAAUCAUAUAAUCAAUUAAGCAAUCAAUCAACAAAUAUAUAGUGGACUUCUGCAAUUUGCAAGGCUCUGUGGCAAAUUGUACAAGGGGAAAAGUGUUUGUGGCCCACAGAAAUCAUGCUGCAGCCCUGGGUGAUAUGCUGAGACAUCUGGGGGAGGAAAUGACUAGGCAUAAGUAAAACAGGGAACUACUAAAAUCCUUAUGCAUGCAGGCUUUGACUAAGUUUGUGACCAUGACAGUGUAAAAUGAAAGCCAAAAGCACUGCAAAUAAAAAGCGUAGAAAAGUUAACUGCCUCUGUAUGUAUGGGCGUUUGGUGGAAUGUGAGAUUAUGAGUUACAUCUGGGGACACAAAAUGUAAAUUUGAUUCAAGAUAGUGGGCAACUAUAUGCAUUUACUUUCUUUGCAUUUCAAUGAGGCAGGCAGUUAGCAAAUGGGCAUGAUUAUUUGCAGGCGGCUAAAAGCAAUACAAGUGGGCCUAGACAGGUUAGCAUAAGGACCCAUCUCCCCAGUAGGAAGAAACUGUUACAACAGACUAUAACAAUGAAGAGAUUGCAGACAUCCUGCUUUAGGCACAGAUAAGAAUAUAACAGGCCGGGCGCGGUGGCUCACGCCUGCAAUCCCAGCACUUUGAGAGGCCGAGGCGGGCGGAUCACGAG